AUUUACCAGCCCUUUUUGUUCUUUAAACUUGUAAUGGUGUUAUGUUUUACACAUGAAAUGCAGCUGUACGGCUCUCAUCCUGAUUAUACUUUCUUAGUAUUUGCAGGAUCUUGAGAGUAUAUUUUAUUAUCUGUUUUUUGUUUACUUCCUUUUAUUCAUUUUAAAUUUAUGGAGUUUGAUCUUUUUUGUUUCGUAUUGAUGUCAAAGUGGAUGUAUUUCUGCUUCUGCAGGCCACCGCCAAUUUAGUUCCUAUCAAUGCAAAGAGAGUUGCUGUUAAAUUUGAUUCUUUCAAGAUAGCUGGUGUGAUACCCAUAAAUGCACGAGGGAGUGGCCGUGGCCAAAUAGAAAUCACAUAUCUUGAUAAAGAUCUACGGAUAACAAGGGGUAACCAAGGAAACCUAUUCAUUCUUAGAAUGGUCGAUCCGUCCUAUAGAGUUCCCAUUUAGAAUAGCUUCAGAUGUGGUUAUUCCUCACAACUUGUUUGGAAUCAGUUCCUCGAGGUUUCAGAGUGAUGCAGAGGCUGCAGAUGCAUAUAAUAUGAGCUUGCUUGUAUGUACUGUUGCAUCGGGAUAUAAGAAGAGCAACCUCGCUAGCCAACUUAGGAAAAAUGAAGAUGUAUAAAUGAAGAUGUAUAGCAUGAACAAUUGGUGCACUGCUAUAUUCUGUAUCUUAGUCUGCACUGCUCUGUUACUAGAAUCUGAAUUUUUUUAUGCUAUAAAAUAGGAAAGCGUAUAAACAUACUGUCUGUCUUUGUUCUCUGAUUCAACAAAAAGUUACAAACUCCGAAAGCAAUGUCUUUGUUCUCUGAUUCAACUAAAAGUUACAAACUGCGAAAGCUCCUACUCUCUUUGGCUGGCACCUCUGUUCUUGGCCAAAAAAGGCCAAGGCAAUAGUGCAAAACCAAGGCGACACUCAAAGACCCAGGCAGCAAGCUACCUUGGUGGAUCUUUCCCCUUAAAAAAUUGAGUUAAUAUCGUGUGAGCCAAUGGCUCACGUAUCAGAUAUUAAACUGAUAAGAACAGAUACUACACUUGAUCUUAGCCAAAAGGCCGAGAAAGGUAUGAUUUUUCUAAUUGACAGUCCACUAAUUUUAUAGUACUCAUGCACCUUUACAUGCCUUCUGCAUUAUCAAUGUGGGACUUGAGCAAACAGUGGGUAACAUUAAGUUGUAGUGCUGAUUGCUACAAGUUAUGAAACUUAGUAAAAAAUAGUUAAGCCUAGUCGCAUUACCGUGCAACUAAUAGUAGUGAUCUUGUCAGCAUUUCAACUCCUUACAAUGAUAUCCUCAAUUGGAUAGUCAAUUUUUCAUUCUUCCAAGCAUUCGAGAAAGACAUGCUUUUUACACAUCAUUAUUAUCUCAUUAGAAUUCUAUUAAGUCAAAUUCACAGUGUGUAAUUUUAUAUGCCAACCAAUGUAUGUAUGUAUGUGCAUAUAUAUAUAAUUACACAAUGCAAUAAAAAUGUCAAACUAGAGUUGGUGGGGUGUGCCAGGCCAAGGCAAUAGUGCAGAACCAAGGCGACACUCAAAGGCCCAGGUAGCAAGCUACCUUAGUGGGCCGUUCCCCUAAAAAAAUUGAGUUAAUAUCAUGUGGGCCAUUGACCCAAGUAUCAGAUAUUAAACUGAUAAGAACAGAUACUACACUUGAUCUUAGCCAAAAGGCCGAGAAAGGUAUGCUUUAAUUAGUGGACAGCCUACCUGUUUUAUAUUGCUCAUGCACUUGCACAUGCUUUCUACAUUUUCAAUGUGGGACACAAAGGGAAUGUGGGAAAUUUGAAUAUGCACUGCUAGUUAAUCUUUAAUAUUCUAAAAGAUAAAUUUUUGGGAGAUUAUGUUCACAGACUAGUUUAUUAUUAUGAAUUAAAUGCCACCAUCAUCAAAUAUUAGAAACAGAAAAUAAUUACUGCUAUAGUUGCUGUUUUUACUGGUCACAGAUAUACUGGACAGAUGAAUUUUAUUAUUCUAUAUUAUCACCAUUUAUAUAUGUUUUCUGAACAACGAGAGAAUCAGUAGUAGAAACCUAAUAAAUUUUUGGUUGCUCCAAAUUCCUGCUACGCAUUGACAAUGCAAAUAAGAGAAGAAGUUGGGCUGAAAUUAGUGGGUGCGCCAGGCCGAGGCAAUAGUGCAAAACCAAGCCGACACUUGAAGGCAAACAGAUACUACACUUGAUCGGUAUGUGUUUCUUUGUUGACAGCCCUCUUCUCUUAUAGUACUAAUGCACUUUUACAACAUUAAUUUUUAGAGCUUUUUAGUUUAUAUACUCAAAUAAGCACAUAUGAUCUGCAGACACGUAUUAGCAGUGAUCAUACACUCAAUAACUAACAAUAAUUGACCAAAGUUCACCUUUUGCCUCAUGUGAUCUUUCUGAAUGGUAAUUAGGACUUAAAAUGUUAAGACUUAAAACUACAAAUGGAGGGGUGUGCCAAGCCGAGGCAAUAGUGCAAAGCCAAGGCGACACUCAAAAACCCAGGCAGCAAGCUACCUUGGUGGGUCUUUCCCCUUAAAAAAUUGAGUUAAUAUCGUGUGAACCAAUGGCUCACGUAUCAGAUAUUAAACUGAUAAGAACAGAUACUACACUUGAUCUUAGCCAAAAGGCCGAGAAAGGUAUGAUUUUUGUUGUUGACAGACCGCUUCUUUUAUAGUACUCAUGCACCUUUACAUGCUUUCUGCAUUAUCAAUGUGGGACUUUAGCAAAUGGUGGGACAACAUUAUUUUGUAAUGCUUAUUAGUUUAUAUACUCUACCUAAGCACAUAUGAUCCAUAUACAUAUUAGUCUGCAGGAAAAAGAAAAAGAAGUUGAAACAAAAUGUUGACUAGUUUUGGAAUCUAUGUCUAUGACUACACACAUAUAAGACUCGUUCUCCCUUCUUGAUUUCUAGCAGUGAUUAUACAAAACAUGUAUUACUUAAACUAUAGAAAAUAAAAUGAUAGACUAGAAUUGGUGAGGUGUGCCAGGCCAAGGCAAUAGUGCAAAACCAAGGCGACACUCAAAGGCCCAGGCAGCAAGCUACCUUAAUGGGCCUUUCCCCUAAAAAAAUUGAGUUAAUAUCGUGUGAGCCAUUGGCUCACGUAUCAGAUAUUAAACUGAUAAGAACAGAUACUACACUUGAUCUUAGCCAAAAGGCCGAGAAAGGUAUGCUUUUUCUUGUUCACAGCCCACUUGUUUUAUAGUACUCAUGCACCUUUACAUGCUUUCUGCAUUAUCAAUGUGGGACUUGAGCAAACAGUGGACAACAUUAAAUUGUAGUACUUAUUAGUUUUUAUAUAUGUAUGUACUCUAAUAAGCACAUAUGAUUUGCAUACACAUAUUAGUCUGCAGGAAAAACAGAAAAAGAAUAUGAAUUAGUCCUCAAAAGAAAAUGUUUGUAAUCAAUAAUGGGCUAUGCUGCAAUGCUAUUAUGACUAGUUUCAAGAAUCUGUGAUUCUUCUAUGACCUAACACACAUAAGAUUUCUUUUCCCUUCUUGAUUUCUAACAGUUAUCAUACACUCUAUAACUAACUUUCGUCUCUUUUCUCAUUGGUAAUUAGGACCAAUAACAACAUAUAACCAAACAUGUACUAUAACCUACACAUCUAAAAUAUUAGACUAAAAUUGGUGGGGUGUACCAGGCCAAGGCAAUAGUGCAAAACCAAGACGACACUCAAAGACCCAAGCAGCAAGCUACCUUUGUGGAUCUUUCCCCUAAAAAAAUUGAGUUAAUAUCGUGUGAGCCAAUGGCUCACGUAUCAGAUAUUAAACUGAUAAGAACAGAUACUACACUUGAUCUUAGCCAAAAGGCCGAGAAAGGUAUGCUUUACAUUGUUGACAGUCCAUUUCUUUUAUAGUACUCAUGCACCUUUACAUGCUUUCUACAUUCUCAAUGUGGGACUUGAUCAAACAGUGGGAUAACAUGAAGUUGUAGUGCUGAUUGCUAUAAUAAGUUAAGAAAGUUAUUAGAAAAUAGUUAAGCCAAGUCUUGGAAGCUAUGCAUCAAAAUCUUGAAGAUGACAGCCAACUUCUUUGCGUUUGCAUUUGCAACCAGAAAAAGAAAGUUUCUUUUUAAACCCCUCCACCAGGAAUGAAAAAUGCGUGAUAUAAAAAUCGGUAAUGCUAUUAUAACUUACUUCUGAAUCUAUGUUAUUCCUUUACCUAUGAGUAUGCAAAUAAUUUUUAUUUUUUUUCCCAUUCUUGAUUUAUAGCAGUGCUUAAAUAGUCUUUUUGGUGACAGAUACCAAUAAUACGGAGUAGUUUCUGAAACAACAGCUCGCAGUUUGCUGGAUAUUACGUACUUGGAUGAAGAACUCAGGGCAAGCCAGGCCAAGGUAAUAGUGCAAUACCAAGGCGACUCGAGAAGGCCCAAGUAGCAAGCUACCUUAAUGAGCCUUCCCCUUGAAAAAUUAAGUUAAUAUCAUGUGAGCCAAUGGCUCACAUAUCAGAUAUUAAACUGAUAAGAACAGAUACUACACUUGAUCUUAGCCAAAAGGCCGAGAAAGGUAUGCUUUUUGCUGUUGACAGCCCGCUUCUUUUAUGUUGCUAAUGCCCCUUCACAUUCUCCUAAAAGACUCAAUGUGGGAACAUUUCAACAAUCUGGGAAAUAGUACUCUGAUCACUCUGAUGAUAUGCAGAUGCUUUAUGUUUUAAUAUAUGCAAGUCUGAAACACUGUAGUUUAUUCUUAUGAAAUGCCCUUAUCUUCAGAAAUUAGGGCUUGUUGUUUUUGCUGCUCUUAAUAUACCAGAAAUACCUUAGACUAAAAUUCAUUUUAUUAUAUUGUAAGUUCAUUUUUA